UCUUGUGAGGCAGGAAGGCUGACGGAGAGGUCUGAGGGGAGACGGGGCAAAAUGGUGGACGAUCUGGCUGCCAAGAGGAGCUGGACGGGUCGUGGGGCUGCCCCACAGGUAACCCGCUAUGCCAUCAGGACUCCGAGAAAGCAAUCUUAAAGGACCCUCAACUCUUCCUGAUCCAGGAAAGACCCUGCUCAGACUGGAGCCGCCCUGGGGCCAUGUGGGAACACUGGCUGGGCCGCCCAGGACCCGAGCCUGCGUCACGGCUCAGCAACCACCGUCAUGUGCUCCGGAAGGAAAGAAAAAGGCGAGUUUACAGCAGCCGCUCUCGUCCACCCUCAGCCAGUUCGCUAAGUCACUUCCAGACCCAAAUUUGGAAUUCAAAUUAAGGGAUAUUAGUUUCACCUUUUCUUCUGAUGGUGGUCCUAGUGCCACCUGUUCCCUAAUGAGCAAUCUGCCUGAUUAAAGCUCUUUUUAAAAAGCAAAACAACCCCCAAA